GACGAACGCUGGCGGCGUGCCUAAUACAUGCAAGUCGAACGCUUCCUACCGGUGCUUGCACCGGGAAAGAAGAGUGGCGGACGGGUGAGUGACACGUGGGUAACCUACCUACAAGCGGGGGAUAACAUUCGGAAACGGAUGCUAAUACCGCAUAGAUCUUUUUGUCUCCUGGCAGAAAGAAGAAAGACGGUUUCGGCUGUCACUUGUAGAUGGACCCGCGGCGCAUUAGUUAGUUGGUGAGGUAAUGGCUCACCAAGACGAUGAUGCGUAGCCGACCUGAGAGGGUGAUCGGCCACACUGGGACUGAGACACGGCCCAGACUCCGACGGGAGGAAGCAGUAGGGAAUCUUCCGCAAUGGACGAAAGUCUGACGGAGCAACGCCGCGUGAGUGAAGAAGGUUUUCGGAUCGUAAAACUCUGUUGUUAGAGAAGAACAAGGAUGAGAGUAACUGCUCGUCCCUUGACGGUAUCUAACCAGAAAGCCAUGGCUAACUACGUGCCAGCAGCCGCGGUAA
rnacentral:rRNA from 1 species